rnacentral:rRNA from 1 species
AAUACCCAAUGAUAUCUCUAGAAGACAUCUGAAGGAGAUUAAAGAUUUAUCGGUGAUGGAUGGGGAUGCGUCUGAUUAGCUUGUUGGCGGGGUAACGGCCCACCAAGGCAACGAUCAGUAGGGGUUCUGAGAGGAAGGUCCCCCACAUUGGAACUGAGACACGGUCCAAACUCCUACGGGAGGCAGCAGUGAGGAAUAUUGGUCAAUGGACGAGAGUCUGAACCAGCCAAGUAGCGAGCAGGAUGACGGCCCUAUGGGUUGUAAACUGCUUUUAUAAGGGAAUAAAGUGAGUCUCGUGAGAUUUUUUGCAUGUACCUUAUGAAUAAGGACCGGCUAAUUCCGUGCCAGCAGCCGCGGUAAUACGGAAGGUCCGGGCGUUAUCCGGAUUUAUUGGGUUUAAAGGGAGCGUAGGCCGGAGAUUAAGCGUGUUGUGAAAUGUAGAUGCUCAACAUCUGCACUGCAGCGCGAACUGGUUUCCUUGAGUACGCACAAAGUGGGCGGAAUUCGUGGUGUAGCGGUGAAAUGCUUAGAUAUCACGAAGAACUCCGAUUGCGAAGGCAGCUCACUGGAGCGCAACUGACGCUGAAGCUCGAAAGUGCGGGUAUCGAACAGGAUUAGAUACCC